rnacentral:lncRNA from 1 species
GUGCAUAGUUAUCAAAUCCUCCACUAUGAAAAAAUGUUAAAUUAGCCCAUAAAAAAGAGAUUUUUAUGCUAAGUUUGGAAUUGGAUGCCGAGAAAAUCAAGAUAUUCGACUCUUUCCUCUCUUGCUAAAGUAGAGAUAUAUACAAACCUAUAAAAUCAUCCCUUGAUAGACCACACAUAUACCAUUUAUAGAUAAGGUCUUCAAGUCAUUAGCGAAAAUCUUAAUGUGUUGACUAUGUCCACAUUCCAACGAAUCAUAGCUAGAGUUAUAUUACAUUUUGAAUUUGAUAAAUGAAAAAUACAUUAAAUGCAUGUAUCAAUUCCUUAUUCUGGAAUAUAAAAUAUCUCAUAUGUGAACACUCCAAAACAUGGUUCAUAUGCUUGCAUAUAAUUUAAUUAACUAACGAUUAUAUUAUAAAUAAUAUUAAGCAUGUGUUAGUACGACCCGGAUAAUUUCCUUUGACCGCAUAUUGACUUCAUUCAAUACAUGUAGCUGUUGUUUUUAUUUAUACAAAACUAUAGACUACGUAGUAGCUGAUAAUAUGAAUUAUACAUAAAAAUAAAAACGAGAGAAUUUAACGGUGGGUCUGUUCGGG